AUGAAGUCGCUCAGUCAUGUCCGAUGCUUAGCGACCCCAUGGACUGCAGCCUACCAGGCUCCUCCGCCCAUGGGAUUUUCCAGGCAAGAGUACUGGAGUAGGGUGCUAUUGCAUUCUCCACAGAAUAGGGUGAAGACAACCACAAAUGGAGAAAAUAGUAGAGAAUCAACAGGAUUAUCUGAGAGGAAGGGAACAUUAAAGAUCCCGAUACAGUUUCCAUUCUGGCACAAAGGCGCUCCUAGUAUGAACAAAAGGGAAAUCAAGAGGGGCCUUAGGAGAAGAGCUUUGGACAACUUGACUUUGAAGACCCCAGUGGGUCAUUCCAAGGGAGUAUUCUAAGAUUGCAUGGGGGAGAGUGUAGGUGUUUGCUGGAGUGGAGUGGAGUUGACAGAUGGGGCUCUAUGGCCAGGAAGGCGUGGCCAAGCCAGAGGCAGGAGUGGGGUUAAUCAGGCAGAGUGUGUGGAAAGGGAAUCAUUUUCUUCUCACCUCUUGGACCUGUGUCCAGAGCCCACCUGGAUUUGCCACCUCUGCUCUGGUUUUGCUCUCCACCCACCUUUGGCAUCUUCCUUUUUACUAAAGUGCGCUAGAUGGCUGCUGAGUUCCUAGGUAUUUCUUUAUCAUGAGCCACAUACUGGGCACUUAGCUUGAUACUACAGCAAUGGGUCUUUACGAUACUGUCCAAGCCCCAGCCCCACUGACCUUUCUUUUUUCUUAAGCUAUGUAGCAUAUCCUGCUUAAUGUCUAACAUUUAGCGCAAUGCCUCCUGAUAUUUGCAUUUAUCUUUGUUGAAUUUGUUGGAUACCAGGCUUCCAUUGUGGCUCAGUGGUAAAGCAUCUGCCUUCAAUGCAGGAGACCUGGGUUCAAUCCUUGGGUCGGAAAGAUCCCCUGGAGAAGGAAAUGGCAACCCCCUCAAGUAUUCUUGGCUGAGAAAUCUCAUGGUCAGAAGAGUAUGGUGGGCUACAGUCCAUGGGGUCACAAAGAGUUGUUAGAUACCAGGCAUCUCCCCAUCUAAACAGUGGGUUCCUUCAGAAUGUUCUACUCUAGUUCAAAUUCCCCAAAAUCCUAACACAGUGAUUUGUAUACAGUUGGUCUUGUUUCGAAGACUAUGUGAGUCUGCUUUUAUUUACUAAUAUUCUCUCCCCUGCCCCAUUGCUACCCAGUUCUUGAUCUCUAUUGGUACCACUUCUUACAUCAAAUUUCUAGUUUGAUUGCCUCAAAAGUCUAGAUGAAAAUAUAACUUGUUAUGACUCACAAAUUAUAGAGAGAAUUUUAAUAGAUACUUCUGCUCUUCCUGUCAUUCAAAAAAUUAAAGUGCUUUCUACAUGCUAAAUAUAUGAAGAUGCUAUAAACACCACAGUGAAGAAUGAUGUGAUAAUUAAUACCUCAGUAAUUAAACACCCAGCUCAGUCCAUGGUGUGUGCUUUGGUGCAGUUGCCGAUGUUAAAAUCAUUCUCCUUUUGUUACAUUGACAACACUGUAAGAGGAAUCUGGAU
rnacentral:lncRNA from 1 species